rnacentral:pre_miRNA from 1 species
CUUAUACUCCCUCCGUUCGGAAUUACUUGUCUCGGAAAUGAAUGUAUCUAGAACUAAAAUACAUCUAGAUACAUUCAUUUCCGAGACAAGUAAUUCCGAACGGAGGGAGUAGGAA